UAGGGAAUCUUCGGCAAUGGACGAAAGUCUGACCGAGCAACGCCGCGUGAGUGAAGAAGGUUUUCGGAUCGUAAAACUCUGUUGUUAGAGAAGAACAAGGACGUUAGUAACUGAACGUCCCCUGACGGUAUCUAACCAGAAAGCCACGGCUAACUACGUGCCAGCAGCCGCGGUAAUACGUAGGUGGCAAGCGUUGUCCGGAUUUAUUGGGCGUAAAGCGAGCGCAGGCGGUUUCUUAAGUCUGAUGUGAAAGCCCCCGGCUCAACCGGGGAGGGUCAUUGGAAACUGGGAGACUUGAGUGCAGAAGAGGAGAGUGGAAUUCCAUGUGUAGCGGUGAAAAGAGUAGAUAUAUGGAAGAACACCAGUGGCGAAGGCGGCUCUCUGGUCUGUAACUGACGCUGAGGCUCGAAGGCGUGGGGAGCAAACAAG
rnacentral:rRNA from 1 species